AGUGUAAGUGUGUUCUGUCUUGUUAUUGUCAUGUUUCUACAGUAAUAGAAAGGUUUUUUCCCGUAGCAUUCAAAAAUAGACCAGAGAUGCUUGACCUACAUGUAUAUUUGGCAAUUUUGAGAUUGCAAUAACCCUAAUGAUACGGUUACUUAACAGCCAUCGUUUCGGAGACUCUGACCAGAGCGAAGAAGAAGUGGAAAAUGGUGACGUAGUGUCUCAGUUCGAAGCACUACCAGUUCGAAGCCCAAGCCAAUUGCAGACUCCACCAUCUCGCCGAGUGCCAGGCAGUAGAUUCACUGCUCCUCAACCUGGAGAAAACUGUCUAGCAUCUCAGCAUAGGGCAGGACCUCAUCACCCUAUAUCCUCUCAACUCCCUGCACCCGCAUUUAACAUCCAGAGAGUUACUCAAG